rnacentral:tRNA from 1 species
GGCCUCGUAGCUCUGUUGGCUAGAGCGUUGGUUUUACUAAAGCCUCCCUCAUGUUGGCGUGGGUUCGAACCUCACAGAGGCCG